UACGUAGGGAGCAAGCGUUGUCCGGAUUCACUGGGUGUAAAGGGCGCGUAGGCGGCCACGCACGUCCGUUGUGAAAUCGCUCGGCUCAACUGGGCGGGGUCAGCGGAUACGGUGUGGCUAGUGCAAGCUAGGGGGCAAUGGAAUUCCCGGUGUAGUGGUGGAAUGCGUAGAUAUCGGGAGGAACACCAGUGGCGAAGGCGGUUGCCUGGAGCUUUGCUGACGCUGAUGCGCGAAAGCGUGGGGAGCGAUCCGG
rnacentral:rRNA from 1 species